UUUUGUAAUCUCAUUGACCAUCGGCAGAGUUCCAGCUUCCAGUGAAGGAGAGCUUAUGCACAGACCAAAAAAAAAAGUCUUAGCAAACAGACUGAUUAAAGAACUAUUUGGUGACAUUAUAAAAGGAUAUUUCCCUUGACAAGAAGAAGUCUGUCACCAAGUUCUUUUUAAACAACGGGUUGCCUGAUGCUUUAGGAACAGUGUUCGGCGUGCAGAGUUUCGACUAGCAUGGGACUUCAGGAACAGCAUAAAGUGGCGGUCCUGUGUUGAGAAUGAAUUCACACACCUUGCUGAAUCUCAAGGAGCUGGGAAUAAUGUCCUCAGGGGGCCUUUAUCCUCCCUUCCAAGGGAUCCAAGUGUGCAAAGUGGUAGACAGACUGGGUAUGGACUUGCCCACAAGAAUCUGGAUUUGCUAAAACUGGGGUCUUCCCUUGAAGCCAGAGCUAUUUUGAAACCAAAUGGAAGGCUGGCUGGCUUCUCAUGGCAGAGUCGGCUUGGGGAGCUUUUCCUCCGGAGAGCACGCACACGAGCAAGCUCGCCUGAGUUACAGGGACUCCAGCUCAGAAAUUCUGAGCCUCGGUUCGGACCCACCAGCCCCCUGACCUCGUUGGCAGACGCUGUGUGUGAUGCGGGUAUUUUCUGGAGAAGGGGUUCGAGGCUUUCUCAGGCUCUUAGUGGGGUCCUUGAUGCAAAGGAACCUCUGCUUUGGAUCCGUUCUGAGGGGGCGGGUUCCUGUGGGGCUCUGAGAGGCUGGGGCGGCCCCCGCUUUUUUGACCCUGCUGUCUCGGGAAGUGGCUUCCUCAGCGUGUCCCUGGGCGGGAGGCAUCCCUGAUGGCUGGUGUCCAUCUUCUCUCCUAGGAGGACGAAGAGGGUUAUAACGACGGGGAGGUGGACGAUGAGGAAGAUGAAGAAGAUGCUUGUGAAGAAGAAAGGGGUCAGAAGCGAAAACGAGAACCUGAAGAUGAGGGAGAAGACGAUGACUAAGUGGAAUAACCUAUUUUGAAAAAUUCCUAUUGUGAUUUGACUGUUUUUACCCAUACCCCCCCCCUGAAAUCCCGCCCCCCGAAACUUAUUUUUUUCUGAUUGUAACGUUGCUGUGGGAACGAGAGGGGAAAAGUGUCCUGGGGGUUGUGGGGGGAGGGAGGGCGGGAGGGAGCGGAAUAAAGUACUAUUUUUACUGCCACUCUUUAUUUUUUUCCCCUCCUUUUUCUUUGUGUCUGGUUUUGUCCCUGUAAACGCGAUAGCUGAGUUACACACCAAGUGAGCGUUUGUUCCUUACUCCCAGAGAGGACGGUUUGGAGGGCUCUUACAUUUCCUGGCAUAUCCCGAGUCUCUCGAAUUGGUUGGAAGGCCAUGGCUGGCCUCCACUUGGUUUCUCAGAAGCCCCAGAGGGGCUGAGCAGCAGCCCACGUCUUACCUCUUGUUCGGGUUCCUGUGAUUCCUGCAUUUCUUGGGCCUGCUAGAGGCACUCAACGCCCUGGUGUGUAAAUAGCAACGUAAAGGCGUAUUUUUGGCACUGGUUGGGGGACAAUCCCCGUCUCUCAUUUCUUUCCUCCUUCACAGAUGGUGGUGGGCUUUGCUCUCUGAAGAAGACUCUGAUGUCACUCUUCAGAGCUAUGAGCCAGAGAGCUGGAAACAGCAGGCUUAGGAGUUAGGAGUAAAAUGGAGUUGGUAGUUCUAAUGAAAAGAGAAGGAGCAAACCCUCAAACGUCAACCUCUUUAAAAGAUUUAAAAAACAAAACAAACAAACAAAACUGUCCUAUCUUGUUCUGUAAAAUACUAGAGCGCUUUGUUUUACGAAAUGACAAGAGAAUCCCUCCACGUGUACUUCUGUGCUGAGACCAUUUUUACAGACCUGAGUGCAGGAGACGCUGCUGCAUGUCGGCUGGGUUUGUUUUUCAUACGCCCGAGCACGGAAAAACUAACGCAAAAUUGUAUUUUCUUACCUAGUGGAAAUCUGAAAUGACUGCAAAUUCCUAGUGAAUGUACAGGUUUGCUUUCAUGUCCCUCUUCUGGAUUGCUUUAGAAGUGACGUGUGAUUUCCUAGCCCGUGUUUCAUCUGUAUAAAAGAACAUCUGCACCAGUUUCUCUCCUCCCCCCUCAGAAGAGCCAAACUUUUGAGUUUUAUGUCUGUUUGUCAUUGAUAAAUUUCAAUAAAUCUUUUUAUACAAUU